rnacentral:rRNA from 1 species
CCUACGGGUGGCAGCAGUGAGGAAUAUUGGUCAAUGGACGAGAGUCUGAACCAGCCAAGUAGCGUGAAGGAUGACUGCCCUAUGGGUUGUAAACUUCUUUUAUAAAGGAAUAAAACGAGGCACGUGUGCCUUUUUGCAUGUACUUGAUGAAUAAGGAUCGGCUAACUCCGUGCCUGCAGCCGCGGUAAUACGGAGGAUCCGAGCGUUAUCCGGAUUUAUUGGGUGUAAAGGGAGCGUAGAUGGGUUGUUAAGUCAGGUGUGAAAGGUUGCGGCUCAACCGGAAAAUUGCAAUUGAUACUGGCAGUCUUGAGUACAGUUGGGGUAGGCGGAAUUCGUGGUGUAGCGGUGAAAUGCGUAGAUAUCACGAGGAACCCCGAUUGCGAAGGCAGCUUACUAGACUGUGACUGACAUUGAUGCUCGAAAGUGUGGGUAUCAAACAGGAUUAGAUACCCCUGUAGUC